AACGAACGCUGGCGGCAGGCCUAACACAUGCAAGUCGAACGCCCCGCAAGGGGAGUGGCGCACGGGUGAGUAACGCGUGGGAAUAUGCCCUUCGGUUCGGAAUAACACAGGGAAACUUGUGCUAAUACCGGAUACGAUCUACAGAUGAAAGAUUUAUCGCCGAGGGAGUAGCCCGCGUAGGAUCAGCUAGUUGGUGAGGUAAUGGCUCACCAAGGCGACGAUCCUUAGCUGGUCUGAGAGGAUGAUCAGCCACACUGGGACUGAGACACGGCCCAGACUCCUACGGGAGGCAGCAGUGGGGAAUAUUGGACAAUGGGCGAAAGCCUGAUCCAGCCAUGCCGCGUGAGUGAUGAAGGCCUUAGGGUUGUAAAGCUCUUUCGCCAGGGAAGAUAAUGACGGUACCUGGAAAAGAAGCCUCGGCUAACUCCGUGCCAGCCGCCGCCGUAA
rnacentral:rRNA from 1 species